UUAGGGAAACUGGCUCUACCUUUAUGACUUGGAUCACACAAGGAUAUGCUUUUCAUUUUGGACUAGAACUGAGAGUAUUGGCCAAUGGAUGUGUUUUCUAAAACUAUCCCAGUGUGUUCACUAUACAGAGGAAGAUUCUGAGAUUCAAGACUCAAGACUGAAGAAGAUCAUUAUUUUUAUUAUUUUAGUCUUAUGCACAAAAUGGUAUCUACUGAAUAAGCAGGUUUUUAAUAGCCCAUAGGAUAAGAAGAAACCAAGUCCUAAAAGUAGGCCAGCACCAGGAUUCAGGCCUCUGACUUCAAGCCAAGGGCUCAUCAUCUUGAAUUGCGCACGAAUUUUUACACAGCGCCAAAGGAAACUGCCUGUACUUACUGUUGUAGGUAAGACAAACCUUUGCUUAUUUUUACUUCUCAUGAAUAAAUAGUUGCAAGAAGAACUGCUG
ensembl:lincRNA